ensembl:lncRNA
CCUUAGGAGAGAACACAGCUGGGACAUGUCAUGGGUGGUCUGCUCAUCACUUAGAAUGACACUUGUUUUAGAUGCUCCUCGCUGGGAAUCAGGUCAAUGGAAAAAUGAUGUGCUGGAUGAAACAGGACGCUGACAAGCCUGGAGCAUGUCUCAGUGGAAGAAAAGGAGCUAAUAAUUAUAAGCACUCUCAUUAUUUAGAAAGUACGCUACUCAAAAUGAAUUCAGCUUUCUGAUGACAAGUGAUUUCUCUCACCCCAAGGAGCAUUUCAAAGCAUCCACACAACCAUCUGCAUGAACCCCAGGAGGUGAAGGUAUGGGACCCUCCUUCCAGCUGUGGUGCAGUGAUCCAUCUGUCUGAGCACAUUUCCAUUUAUCCUCCAGGAAGAGAAUGCGCCACCCUCAGGCCUCCCUGAACUGUGAUUUCAGCUGCAAGAGACAGAACAAGGACUGAACAGGGAACUGGGUGAAAUAAAGUCAAUCUAAAUUUGUGGGUUAAUACCUGCAAGGCAUGCCAAUAUUGAUGUGCCAGACAGCCCUUUCCAUCAAAGUGCAGAAUGUGGAUCUGUGAAAGGAGUACAGAGAGCUGCAGAAAAAUCUGAGCUCAGAAACCUGGUGAUACUUCCAGUGGAAAGAUUUCCUUCCGUCCAGCUUCAGCACAGACAGCUUCAGGGACACAUGAAUAUCAGUGGCAGAAUUUAAAAUUGACUGAGAGGUAACUGCAAGUGUUGGAGUUGAGAGAGCUGUUCAAGGAUUCAGUCAUGGAUGUUUGAUAUCUGUCAAAGAGAGCCGUAUGCUUCAACCAUUGACAGGAAAAGGAGUCACUGGUUUCUUCCAAGCUUAAGCAUCGCUUGAAGUAUUUUUAAGGGAAUUAGGGCAAAUCAAACAGCUGUGGCUGCUAAAACUCAGGCAGCUAACGACUACAUGAAUCUAACAAUCUGGCAAGCAAGAAGGACUGGCUGACAAUCUAUCUGCAAUUUGUGCUUUAAGUGCAGUCUCUAGUUGUAUAUACUAAACCCUGGACUGAUGCCACAGUUGCAGAGCCAGAAGAGAGCAGUUGCUGCAGAUGAAGCUCCAUCCUCAUUCUGGUCAGCCACAAUCUGAAUGCAUGCAGCUCUCCACUUUCUCUCAGUGGAAUUCUUUAGCCUUUUAGAAAAUCCCACUGGUUUAUCUUCAGUCAAGAGUUUGUGCCUCUGGAGUUCCACAUCUCAACCACAAAGAGCAUGUUUAUUUUGUUGCUGUUACAGAAAAAUAAUGAGUCCUGCAUUUUCACCAAUAGUAAGUGAAACUGAUAAUACGAACAUGAGAAAAUACUACAAAUCUGAUUUAUUAAUCUAGACAUGCUUUCGUGUUGUUUGGCGUCUGCUGCAUUUGGCACCAAAGAUGCCUCUAAUCUUUCCUUGAGGGACCAAAUCAAAGGAGAUGAGGUGGAAGUGCAGUAUUGGCUACAUGGGCCUUCCUUCUUGGAGAGGGAAUUGAGUG